UACAGAGGUCCCGAGCGUUGUUCGGAUUCACUGGGCGUAAAGGGUGCGUAGGUGGUGGGGUAAGUCGGAUGUGAAAGCUCGGAGCUCAACUCCGAAAUGGCAUUGGAAACUACCCUGCUGGAGGUUUGGAGGGGGGACUGGAAUACUUGGUGUAGCAGUGAAAUGCGUAGAUAUCAAGUGGAACACCAGUGGCGAAGGCGAGUCCCUGGACACUUCCUGACACUGAGGCACGAAAGCUAGGGGAGCAAACAGG
rnacentral:rRNA from 1 species